GAUUUAGGUGUCCACAUCUAAACACACGGUGAUACACAGAACACAGGCAGAGAUCUGCUUUGUGAUUGUGGUUCCCCAGGAAAGCUUCUUGUAUACUCAUAAACCCGCACGACGAUGAGAGGGAGCGCUGAGGGGAUCGGCUGGCCCUAUGCUCCAUAUUCACAGAAGCAGGAUGAGGCUGGGAAGCCUGCUGAGAAAAUGGUGUCGUAAUCAGGAGCCGGCAGUUCUGCCUGAUCAGAGUGUGGCGAGGGGUACAAGGGAGGUGGGUGGUGGCGCUUGGACCUCAUCUCCCAGGAAGCUCUCUGCGCUCCGGAAACCUGAGCUUCAGCUUGUUAAGACAAUGAAGGGAACACGUGAGGCUCUGGCACAUGGUGGCUAGGGUUACCUGUUCGCGGUGAACUUUUGGCCCUUGGAGCAAAACCUCCCCACCCUUAUGACUCCUGCACUGCUCCACCUGUAUCCCUGCUCUCUGUCCUCCCUUCGAUCGGUACCUCCCUUUAUGUUCUUGUGUGUCUUUCUUGAAUCAUUUGUGUCGGACAGGUUUCUAUAUUCUGUGGUGCUGCAACUCUUUAUACAGUUGUGCCGCUUACUCCUGCUCUUUCACUGUGUUGCAGGUCAUCACGACUAAUUAACAGAGACAUGGACAGAAUUCCUCCGUUUUUUGUAUGUUUAUGUGUUUGCUGUCUGUCUCUCCAGACAAAAGACUGCCUGGGCCCCUGCCAUCAGAUCUCCAUCCAUCCACAGGUUUGGGCCUGAAAGACGUGCCAGACCUGCUGCCAAAGCAUUGGCCUCCACCUCACCCUGCAGACAUUGCUGAAAACUCAUGCAAGCAUACACACACAAACACGCACGCACACACACAGUGUUCAAAAUAUCUCUAUGUUUUCAAGCACACUACCUCUUUUUUUACAUACAUCCACCAUGCACAUGUACCAAUGACAUUUUCCUCUGCCUACACACACAUUCUUGCCAUCUCUACUCUGUGUCUAUCUCUGUCUGUGAUGAUGGAGUCGACACACGCGUGUCAUGGCUCAUGUCACACGUAGACAAGAUCGAGCCGCGUUCACACGGUCUCCCUCGACACAAACGUAAACACACACUCGUUCGGUUUUUCAGUUGUCUCUCAGGCAUUUCCUAUUUUUAAAACAGUACGCAACACACCUACACACAUUCUCCCAUGCUUGGGCACACCCACAGCCGCCCAUGUCAUGCUGCGAGACAGUCCUUGUCUCGGGGAACACCCUCGCACACUUGUAACGCAGGAAAACAUUUGUCAGGUGAAGUAAAUCUAGACACCUGACACUAGUGGUCUCUCUUUGCAUUUGCUUGCACCACCGCCUCCAUACUUAAUGGCACAGCACCUACUGAUUAUUGUAUGCUUUGAGCUAGUCUGGUAAUUGCGCGGUACAUACCUGUCCAGGGUGUAAGCCCAUCCGCAGAACAUAGGGCCUCUCUGUUAAAUGGCUCACUGUAUUGUCGUAACUGAGAGAUGGAGCCUCCUCUCUGUCAUUCACUGUCAGUCAUUGUCUGUGAUGCAUGUGUGCCGCAGUUUAAAAGUCUAUUCAUAGAAAGGAGUGCACGUUCAUAUUUUCAAUCAGCUGGAGAAAUUAAAUCUCAAAUAACCUGUAUUCCACGAGCUCAGAAGCUCAAGAUAACACAGAGAACGAGAAUCACCCCUGCAAAUGUGAAGUCAUGAUUUUCAACAGUCAUUUGGCAUUUUCUUAAACCUGAGGUUAUUUUCAUGACAUCUGAAUGAGUCAGACUCCGUGCAUGUGUUUGUGUGAUGGUGCAAAUGCAAAUAUCACAUUAUUUUGUCUGGUUCAUCUUAUCAAUAUCCUUCUUAUCUAUGAAUCGGAGACAUUGAGACAUAGAUGCUGAAUCGUUCUCUGUGUAUCACAGCGUCAGGCUUUUGACUUUCAUGUCACAAUUAUGAAACUAUUCUUUUUGACAGUCUUUUAUGGCCUGGUAAGGCGGUAUAGGAAAAGGACAAUCAGAUGAAAAAGAGAUACAAAGGGUCGAAGUAAACAAAGCCUCACGGAGAGAUCAAACUAUCAUAUUUCAGAGUAUUUAGCAGCUUGUUGCAGGGUGAAGCAAACUGGAAUGAGGAGUGGCUGCAGAAGUUUGCCACACAAGCUCUGUGUGAGAACAUACUGACAGUACUGACUAACUCAAACAUAGUACAUACAGUAGCCUACAUUUAGAGGUGCACUGAGGCCAAAUGCAGAAAAUAAUUCAAUUGAACAUGUUUUAUGUUGCACUGCAUUGUUGUUGCUUAGUAAUUAACGAUUUUCUGUGCAAUCUUUGAUGUUAUUAUUUUAAUGUCAGUGCCCUUUGUGUACGCAGGCCACAUGGGCCUAAAGGAGCAUCACAUCAACAUGUAUGUACCCUCAUAUCUACCCUUUUUUAUUUUGAUCUGCCUAAAACAACCAUAAACAAUAUAAUAUUAAUCAGUGUUAUGUCUUUAUUGCACUAUAAUCUUUGAAUUUUUUUUUAUAUUUGGAU
ensembl:lncRNA